rnacentral:lncRNA from 1 species
UUUUUUUUUUUUAAAGUUUGAUGAUUAUAAGAAGAAAGAACUCAAUUCGAAACUAUUCUGACAAACCCUUAUAAGAGCAAAGAGGAAUAGCUACAAUCGGUCAAGUAGACUGGAGAAAAUAAAACGAGGGAACAAGAAUCAAGACUGAAGUCCUCCUGUCAUGUUACUUUAUUCGCUACAAACAAGAUGUUCAUCAGCUUGCUUUAAGGAAAUCUAACAAGACAACUAGUAGAACUAUUUCAAGAGUUCUUGCGGAAUUUCCAGUUAUCUAAAUUUAUCUAGACCUAUCAUGCAUAUGCUCCUUGAAUUGUUGCCUCAACAUGCCAACAAGAAGUUCGGUCACUAGUACAAGGGAGAGGCAGGGGCGGGGGCGGGGGGAGUUACUUGUAGACGGGUGGCCCUGCCCCAAAAUCGCCCUGUUGCCAUCCAUUACUCUAUAUUCAAGUCAUUGUAACUGUACUAAGCAUAAGCAUGGUCAGGAGUAGUGAUAAGGCAAAAUAUUAGUGGAGUUUGGAUUCAUCGAUGUACAAUCCCAAGUCCUUAUAAAUGUACUAAUUGCAUAAGCAUCGUCAGAGGUUACUGUAAUUGCAAGGCAAAAUAUGAAUGGAGUUUGGAUUCGUCCAUGUACAAUAUUAAGGCAUAAGCAUAGUCAGUGCAAUAAGAAUAGUUUGGAGUAGUAGUAAGAAUAUUAGCAGAGUUUGGAGUAAAAGAGGGAAGGGGCAGGCAGUAGAAUGGUAGAAGUGGAACUAGAGUGAGUGGUUGUUGGGGAGGCAGGCAGCAGACUUGGUUUUGCAUCUCCCCUUCCCUGCAAAAGAAAAGUUAUAUAGGUAAUAAAUCAUCGCCAUUCAUUACUCCACAAUGGGAAGAAAAAAUCCAGAAAACCUCUAUAUGUGUUAACUGUGCUCCAAAAUUUACUUGUUUUGUCUCACUUCUGGGGUGGAGGUGCCCAUGAACUCAGUGGCAUUUCCUACAAAAAUUUUCAGGUUAAUCCAAGUAACUUCAUUAAUCUUUUCUUUUUCAGUUCUUAGUUAAAAAAUAUAUAUUCCAAGUAAGUUCCGCAAUCUUUUCUGUUAAGAAUUCCUUAAUUUCUGAUCCAAGUAAGUUUAGUAAUAUUUUCUAUUAAGAAUUCCUUAAUUUCUGGAAAUUAUAAGAAGUAUGGUACAUUUCAUAUACCUCAAGGUUAUCAACAUCAUCCGCAGCAGUAUCAUUAAGGUUCAUAUCCUGCUAUAAUCUAUUUGUUAAUUCACACACUCCAAAUGACGUUGAUUCACGAUUCAUGAUUUUUUUUAAAAAAAUCAUGAAUCGUGAAUCAACGUCAUUUGGAGUGUGUGAAUUAACAAAUAAAUUAUAGCAGGAUAUGAUUUGAACACGUAACAUAUACGUAAAAUAUGAUGGUAGAAUUAAGUAAAAUCUCACCUCUUUUUAUCCACCAAAUCAAGUAAGCGGCCAUUUGAUGUCGCAACCUAAAUUUGCGAGUCGAAUCGAGUCGAGUCAAAUUUUAGUUUAAUCAAAAUGAGUCUCGACUUAAUUUUAUCAGAUUCGCGUUCUAAAUGUAAAACUCGAGUUCGAAUUCAACCUUAAAUUUGAUUCGAGUCAAAUCAAGUCAAAUUCAAACUCGAGUUUAUAAAAUAAAAAAUAAUUAUUUUAUUUUUUAAAAAUGAAUAAAAUAGUUAAAUAAUAUAUAUGAAAUCAAAUCGGCACGUAAGUUAACAAGUUGAGUAUUUUUGACCUCUAAUUCAAUCUCGAAUCAGAGUUUUGACUCAAGCAACUUGUGAAUUAGUUUAGUGUACCAUUGGAAUGUACAUUGCUGUGAAGGCGUUUUCAUGUUUGAUCAAUGGGAAGUUAAAGUUUGUCCCCCAAUAAAAAUAAAAAUAAAACUUUUACUAUAUAUUGUGAUACGACUUUUCCCUCUUGUGAAAUGAAAGUCGUGAAUGCGGUUACACAGGAGCAUGGUGACGCAGCGCCUGAGGAUGUAGAUUCUUGUUUUCUGCUGCUUCAUCACCAUCAAACACCGCUUCCUGAACCCAUUUCUCAGGCGACUUUUGCGUCGAGAAUCAGACGGUGGUGGGAUUAAGUAAGAAAUGCUCACGGUGGUGGAGAAUGGAGACUCCUCAAAUUUUGGAUAUCAGCCAUGGGAUUGAAUUAAGGUAGAAGAAGAUGGACUGAGUUGAGACUUGGGACUUGGGACUUGGGGGCAGGGCAUAGGAAAACCCGUCAUAUAUAGAGAGACCAAUGACAGAGAGAGGCGCUAGCGACAGGUGUCAGCUACGGCGGUCCCUUUGUUUAAGUUAGAGGUCAAAUCAUGAUAAUGGAAACUACUACCUGAAAAAAUGCAUGCUCACAAAUUCUCUUUUUUUAAAAAAAAAAAAUUUUAAAAUAAAAUGUUACUUUUUCCUUGCAAUUUCUUGCCUUCCAAUCAUACUUGAGAAUAAUCUUUAUCGUCUUUUGUCUCGUAAAACUCUCAAAUAACGUUUUAAUGUUUACAAAUUUGUCUUUUCUCUUGGUUUUCUUUUCCUUAAUGUAAUUUUCUGUUUAUAUUCUUUUUUUUGGUUUUCCCUUGCUCUUAAACUCACACGCUGGACUUAGCAUCCUAUCCUUGGCAAUUAGUUUGCAUCUCAUUCUUCGAAAUCUUCUGCUAUGAACCAGAGGUGCACAGAUGCACCCUCUUCAUCGAGCCUAUAUCAGCAGGAAAAAAAAAAAACAAAAACUAUUCUGAUCGAGCCUAUUUUAGCGUACUCAAGUAAAUGACCGUCAUGUCGAUCUGCAAAAGUCCUUAUUUUCAUUGCCAAGAGUAGUAUAAGCAUGUAAUCAAAACUCACAGAACUUCCAUAACCCCCCCCCCCCCCCCCCCCCAAAAGCAACAAAAAAUGUAUUUGAAGAAGCUUUAUAAGGAGAUUUCAUGGCGCAUCAUGAGUAAGUGACCGUCAUGCUUCAACCUUCAUCUCACCUAUGAAAGUUUGUUUCGUGAAAAUAUAAACCUAACAAACGGUCCCGGACAGUUAAAGAGGGACCAAGCCCUUCUUGGUCCUCAUCCAAUUGUAGGGUAGUAAUCCACCACCCCAUCUACUCUUUGACAGGGCUACAAAUUGAGGUGGUAGUAAAGGAUGACCUCGUCCUCCCGCUAGACUCAUUUAAGGCACAACACAAGUAGUGAGGCAGCCUCUAAAGGUUACCCCGCUAUGCAAACCAAAUCUCUGACCACGAAGUUGAUGCGACAGAGAAAUUUGCUUCUCCGAUCACCUACAUGUGGGGCAAUUGAUUAAGAAGCCCCCCCCAUAACCAACCAACCAAAUCCCAAUUGCUCCUCAAGUAUACAUGUCAGUGGAAAGAUAUGGUGAAAUCAUGCAUAGUGGAAGGAAUCAAGAUCAUUUGAUGAUCCAUCAUGUUAUUGGGUGGACUAUAGACUCUAACUUCGCAUAUAAUCCUUGUUUAAUUAGUUCAAUUCAUUUGGUUGUUCAUCUGAUGUUAUUCAUCAUCAAGAGUUGUACUAUCUGGUGAAAAAAAAAAUUGCUUGCAAAAGCACCGGAAGUCAGUGACAAAUUAUCAAUACACUAAUAUUAACACUACUGUUUACGCGUUCCUCAAAAAGAAAUCAUCAAGGCGUAAGACCUAGAUUCGAUGACAAAUUCAUCCAUACAAGAUCAAUUUUUCAAGUAGAUUCAUCAUCCACGGGCUACAACUACAAGAGGAGAAAUAGCUCUCCAGUUCUGAACAGAGAGUUUUGCCCCUUUACCUCUCCAACUCCUGUACAGCUAUCAAUACAAAUGGGAUGAGUCCAUUGACCUUAAGCAAAAACAUCUCUUGACCAAAGACUUCAGCCCAUUUUUGGACUGCAGCACCUACCCUUGAUCUCUAAUGACCUUUAAUUGCUGAACCCUUCCGUUUCGGCCAAGAUCAAGAUUUGCCGGAUCAUAUCAUCAAAAAGAGUCACAUGGGUUCUCCGUCUCGCUUCCGGGAGCGUCCCCUGAAUUGCUGUCGGACAAGAUACUCAAUUUAUUGAGCUACUAAUCUGAUAAGGAGUGAUCGUGCCAACACAAAAGCAUGGUGACGCAGCGCCUGAGGAUGUAGAUUCUUGUUUUCUGCUGCUUCAUCACCAUCAAACACCGCUUCCUGAACCCAUUUCUCCGGCCGCUUUUGCCUCGAGAGCCAGACGACGGUGGGAUUAAGUAAGAAAUACUCAUGGUGGUGGAGACUGGAGACUGGAGACUGUCUACCUGGAACUUCGGAAAUUAGCUUUGAGAUAGAAUUAAGGGAGAAGAAGAUUGAUUGAGCUGGGAGCAGAGUAUAGGAAAGCCCGUCAUAUAUAGAGAGGCCAGAGAGAGAGGCUAGUGCUAGAUAUCGUGGUCCCGUUGUUUAAGUUUGCGGUCAUAUCAUAAUAAUGGGUAGUAAAACCUAAAAACAUGUAUCCUUACACAUUUUUUUUAUUUUAAAUAAAAAAUAUUAUUU